AACGCAAAUUGCGCUCUCGGGAUAGGCCUGGGAGCACGCCUCUUUGAGUAUCGAUUCCAACACAACUCGCAAGCGUGCUUGUAAUGAGCAAGCCUGCGGAAACUGAGCCUUCUCCGCUGCUCGUUCAGCGAAGAUGCUUUAAAUGCCGCGAGUGACAUGGGUUGUCAGCAAAUAGCCAACUCUGUCUCUGGUGACGAGGAUAACUUCACAUUCAGUUGUGAACCCUUCCAUCGUGACUGGAGGCAAAGAGCGAGCAGUUCGCUGUGACCAAUGUGUUACGGACCUUCUCUAGAUCGGUGCCUUUGCAGCACUUGGUUGUGAGAAAACUUACUUUGAACUAGAUCUCAAAUGAAGCGAGAAAAACCCGCUGAACUUAA
rnacentral:misc_RNA from 1 species